rnacentral:rRNA from 1 species
GACGAGGGGUCCAAGCGUUGUUCGGAAUCAUUGGGCGUAAAGCGGGUGUAGGCGGCUCUAUAAGUCAGAAGUGAAAGCCCCGGGCUUAACCCGGGAAGUGCUUUUGAUACUGCAGAGCUUGAAUGUGGGAGAGGGUAGUGGAAUUCCAGGUGUAGUGGUGAAAUACGUAGAUAUCUGGAGGAACACCGGUGGCGAAGGCGGCUACCUGGCCCAACAUUGACGCUGAGACCCGAAAGCAUGGGGAGCAAACAGG